UACGUAGGGUGCGAGCGUUGUCCGGAAUUAUUGGGCGUAAAGAGCUCGUAGGCGGUUUGUCACGUCUGCUGUGAAAUCCCGAGGCUCAACCUCGGGCCUGCAGUGGGUACGGGCAGACUGGAGUGCGGUAGGGGAGAAUGGAAUUCCUGGUGUAGCGGUGGAAUGCGCAGAUAUCAGGAGGAACACCGAUGGCGAAGGCAGUUCUCUGGGCCGUAAUUGACGCUGAGGCGCGAAAGCGUGGGGAGCAAACAGG
rnacentral:rRNA from 1 species